rnacentral:rRNA from 1 species
GACGAACGCUGGCGGCGUGCUUAACACAUGCAAGUCGAACGAAAAGGUCCUGCUUUUGUUGGGUGCUCGAGUGCCGAACGGGUGAGUAACACGUGAGUAUCCUCCCCCUGACUUUGUGAUAACUUCUGGAAACUCGGGCUAAUAUCGCAUAGGAGCUCUUGCUCCAUGUUGGUGGUUGGAAAGAUUCGGUGGUUGGGGAUGGACUCGCAGGUUAUCCGCCUGUUGGUCAGGUAGUGGCUUACCAAGGGUUUGAGGGGUAGCCGGCCUGAGAGGGUGACCGGCGACAAUGGGACUGAGAGAGGGCGCAGUAGGGUACGGGACGCAGUGGUGGGGAAUCUUGCGGAGUGGGGGGAAGCGUGAGACAGAAGUGCCCGGAUCGGGAAGACGUGCUACGAGGGGAAAACCAAUUUGGAAGGUGAUAUGCCGGGAGUGACGGUAAUGGGUAAGGAAGCACCGGCUAACUACGUG